rnacentral:rRNA from 1 species
AUACGAAAGGUGCAAGCGUUGUUCGGAUUUACUGGGCGUAAAGAGAGUGUAGGUUGUUUAUUAAGUCGGAUGUGAAAUCCCGGGGCUCAACCUCGGAACUGCAUUCGAUACUGAUAGGCUAGAGUUUGGGAGGGGUAAGCGGAAUUCCGUGUGUAGCAGUGAAAUGCGUAGAUAUACGGAGGAACACCUGAGGCGAAGGCGGCUUACUGGACCAAUACUGACACUGAGACUCGAAAGCGUGGGUAGCAAACAGGAUUAGAAACCCCAGUAGUCC